rnacentral:tRNA from 1 species
GCGCCUGUGGUGUUAAUGGGAGCACGUCGGCGUGCCAAGUCGGCGGUGCGGGUUCGACCCCCGCCAGGCGCUC